rnacentral:rRNA from 1 species
CCUACGGGAGGCAGCAGUGGGGAAUAUUGGACAAUGGGGGGAACCCUGAUCCAGCCAUGCCGCGUGUGUGAAGAAGGCCCUCGGGUUGUAAAGCACUUUCAGUGAGGAAGAACGCCUGGUGGUUAAUACCCAUCAGGAAAGACAUCACUCACAGAAGAAGCACCGGCUAACUCCGUGCCAGCAGCCGCGGUAAUACGGAGGGUGCGAGCGUUAAUCGGAAUUACUGGGCGUAAAGCGCGCGUAGGUGGCUUGAUAAGCCGGUUGUGAAAGCCCCGGGCUCAACCUGGGAACGGCAUCCGGAACUGUCAGGCUAGAGUGCAGGAGAGGAAGGUAGAAUUCCCGGUGUAGCGGUGAAAUGCGUAGAGAUCGGGAGGAAUACCAGUGGCGAAGGCGGCCUUCUGGACUGACACUGACACUGAGGUGCGAAAGCGUGGGUAGCAAACAGGAUUAGAUACCCCUGUAGUC